rnacentral:RNase_P_RNA from 1 species
CGGGUUGGUCAGGUGAUAGCAGUGGAGGUUUCCUCCAUUGAGGAAAGUCCGUACUCCAUAGGGCACAAAACCGGGGAAAUCCCGGGACGGGGUAACCUGUCGGUCGGGCCACAGAAACAUACCGCCCGCAAGGGUAAGGGUGAAAAGGUGGUGUAAGAGACCACCGGCUUCUGCAGUAAUGCAGCUGCCAGGCAACCCCUUUUAGGAGCAAGGUCAAGCAGACGCUGAAACUCAUCGGAACUGCCCGUUCCCUCACUGCAAUGUGAGAGCGUCGGGUAGACCGCGCAGAUAGAUUAUCACCCAGGUGAUUUUCACCAGACAGAAUGCGGCUUAUAGACCAACCCGGCAU